rnacentral:misc_RNA from 1 species
GCAUCAAUGUUGACUAUCUUUACACAAAUCUAUAUGUUUAUUUCUAAUGUUAUCGGCCAAGGUAAGCCUUACACAUUUUCUGAUGAUGGGUCAUCGGCAGACUUAACAAGCGGCUCUGCCCCCUCUUCAUUUGGCUUGGGAGAGAUGUGCGCUUUCUCGGCGGGAUAUAAUAUAUAAUGUUGAAACAUGAAAAGGAGGUCGAAGAAUACAGAGACCAAAGACAGCAAUGUCUUCCCUAUGUUGCCAUAAAAGUUCACCCAAGAAUUUUGGUCUAUAGACUGAACAGCCAUUUGGGCAUAAUUUGCUAUGCCUCCAAGAAAGUCAAGCAAAAUGUUCCCAAUGCUGAAGCCGUCAGUGCUCUUUCGCAUGAAGUUCAUUACUGCCUGGGGAAUAUACUUGAUGACUGUCAUAAAAACUUGAAUUGA